rnacentral:rRNA from 1 species
CCUACGGGCGGCAGCAGUGGGGAAUAUUGGGCAAUGGGCGCAAGCCUUACCCAGCAAUACCGCGUGAGUGACGAAGGUCUUCGGAUUGUAAAGCUCUUUGAUCAGGGACGAACAGAUGACGGUACCUGAAGAACAAGCCCCGGCUAACUACGUGCCAGCAGCAGCAGUAAAACGUAGGGGGCGAGCGUUGUCCGGAUUGACUGGGCGUAAAGGGUGCGUAGGCGGAAGAAUAAGUUAGAAGUGAAAUACCCAGAGCUUAACGGGGGAGCUGCUUCUAAGACUGUUGGGCUUGAGUGCGGGAGAGGUGAAUGGAAUGCCUAGUGUAGCGGUGGAAUGCGUAGAUAUUAGGAGGAACACCAGAUGCGAAGGCGAUUAACGGGACCGUAACUGACGCUGAGGCACGAAAGUGUGGGUAGCAAACAGGAUUAGAUACCCCGGUAGUC